UACGGAGGGUGCAAGCGUUGCUCGGAAUUAUUGGGCGUAAAGGGUAGGUAGGUGGUCUCGUUUGUCUGGGGUGAAAGCCUUGAGCUUAACUCAAGAAGUGCCCCAGAAACGGCGAGACUCGAGUACUGGAGAGGGUCGUGGAAUUCCCGGUGUAGCGGUGAAAUGCGUAGAGAUCGGGAGGAACACCAGAGGCGAAGGCGGCGACCUGGACAGUAACUGACACUCAACUACGAAAGCGUGGGGAGCAAACAGG
rnacentral:rRNA from 1 species